rnacentral:lncRNA from 1 species
GGCAGAGGAAAUAAAAAAAAUGCAAGAGAAAUUAAAAUGCAUGAAAAAAGAAACUUAGAAAAGAAAUGUAAGAGGUCAGCAGUUCUCUUUACAACAGAAUCUCUUUUAAUUUGAAGAGCAGCCACGACCUUCUUGCAAUUGGAAUGGAAUAGAACAGCACGACAAACACCUGCAAUUUUCUGGAAAACUUUAUUUGAGUAAGUCCACUGCUACAAUUGAAAGUUAUACCAAUAUAAUAUUGAAACAUAACAGCCAUGGCGAUAGAAAAUUGAUGAUUGGAAUUGGAUUACAACAGCACUGUUAUGAAGCAACAACGAUGAUAAAAACAGCAGCAAUAAUGAACACGGCAGCAACAAAUUUGGAAUUUAAUUAUGCAGCAAUAGUAGAAAAAGGUAUGGAAUAGCAGGUGCAGCCAAUAACAAAGAUGAAACUCAAAGAAACCAAUAUGAAACUUUAAAGAAAAUAAUUAAAUAGGGUAUUGAAUUAACACGGUAGCAUGAAUUGAAACCGAACAAUAAUAGUGCUAGUGAUGAAAUGUUGAUAGUAAUCGAAAUUAAAUAGGAGAAUCACAGCUAAAUGGAAAUUUAAAGGCAUGACAGUAUUAUAUUUUAAUAAAUGGGAUUGCAGCAUUCACAAAGGUUCAUGGCACAAGUAAGGCAAAUUGAAAUAACAAGUAGUUAGCCAUGCAUCAAUAUGAAGAUAAUGGAAUUGCAACAAUAGCGUGAAAGCAAAAACGAAAUACUGUAAUUGAAUUUGAAUGGGUAGUAAAAAUAAUGAAACGGCGAUUGGAAUGGUUUUUGAAAAGAAAAAAAAAAAAAAUAUUGCGGUGGCUAGGUUUUUCGGAAUUGUUGUGAGUGAAAAAUUGUGUUAUUAGGUCAAAUUGUGUGUGUCAAUUGUGUUGUUGCAGGUUGCUUUUAUAGAAAGGGGAUCAGCACUAGGGUUUGUUGAAAGUCUGCUGAAAAUUUGUGGCUUGGGGAGGAGAAUAAGCACUGUUAUUGCUGGAUUGAUAAGGCUGGGAAUUGGAUUGGGAUGGAGAAAGAAAGAAAACGUGUACUGUGUUGUUUUUGGAUGAGG